rnacentral:rRNA from 1 species
GACAGAGGGUGCAAACGUUGCUCGGAAUUACUGGGCGUAAAGCGCGUGUAGGCGGGUCGGAAAGUCGGGCGUGAAAUCCCCAGGCUCAACCUGGGAACUGCACUCGAAACUUCCGAUCUAGAGUGGUGGAGAGGGAAGUGGAAUUCCUGGUGUAGAGGUGAAAUUCGUAGAUAUCAGGAGGAACACCAGUGGCGAAGGCGGCUUCCUGGACACCAACUGACGCUGAGACGCGAAAGCGUGGGAGCAAACAGG